AGUCGCCGCGGGAAUACGAAGGGUGCAAGCGUUAAUCGGAAUUACUGGGCGUAAAGCGUGCGUAGGCGGUGAGUUAAGUCUGCUGUGAAAUCCCCGGGCUCAACCUGGGAAUGGCAGUGGAUACUGGCUCGCUAGAGUGUGUCAGAGGAUGGUGGAAUUCCCGGUGUAGCGGUGAAAUGCGUAGAGAUCGGGAGGAACAUCAGUGGCGAAGGCGGCCACCUGGGACAACACUGACGCUGAGGCACGAAAGCGUGGGGAGCAAACAGGAUUAGAUACCCCCGUAGUCCCUGUCUCUUAUACC
rnacentral:rRNA from 1 species